rnacentral:rRNA from 1 species
UACGUAGGGUGCAAGCGUUAAUCGGAAUACUGGGCGUAAAGCGUGCGCAGGCGGCUAUGCAAGACAGAUGUGAAAUCCCCGGGCUCAACCUGGGAACUGCAUUUGUGACUGCAUGGCUAGAGUACGGUAGAGGGGGAUGGAAUUCCGCGUGUAGCAGUGAAAUGCGUAGAUAUGCGGAGGAACACCGAUGGCGAAGGCAAUCCCCUGGACCUGUACUGACGCUCAUGCACGAAAGCGUGGGGAGCAAACAGG